rnacentral:lncRNA from 1 species
GGCCUUGGUCGAUUAUUUUAAAAACUGAUUUUCUUUCUUAUUUUUGCAGUGGCUCUCUCUACCUGUGCAGAGGUAUUGAGGAUCUCGGACUCUGAAACACAUACCAGCUAUCCACAGCACUUUGUCUAGCAACAUCGUUACAUCAAAGCCGCUGCCUUUUGGACAGCUCAACCUUUUACAGUGGCACUGAAUUUAUCAGGUUUUUCUGCAGAACCUUAUCUUCUCUCAAGUUCAACCAAAUCGUCUCCAUCUAACUGGUGGGCGGAGUUACCAUCACUGAAUCAAGCUAAUUGGUUGAUCUACAUCUGCAGU